CUCUGGAGAGCAGUCGUUUUAUGCGGCUCACCGACGAAGCACGCCGUUGCCCCUAGGCAGCGGUUUAUCUUUCAGGUUCAGGAACAGAG
rnacentral:ncRNA from 2 species